rnacentral:rRNA from 1 species
GACGAACGCUGGCGGCGUGCUUAACACAUGCAAGUCGAACGGUGAAGGGACCAGCUUGCUGGUUCUGGAUGAGUGGCGAACGGGUGAGUAACACGUGAGUAACCUGCCCCCUUCUUCUGGAUAACCGCAUGAAAGUGUGGCUAAUACGGGAUAUUCUGGGUCUGUCGCAUGGCGGGCCCGGGAAAGAUAUUGCUUCGGUGGGGGAUGGGCUCGCGGCCUAUCAGCUUGUUGGUGGGGUGAUGGCCUACCAAGGCGGUGACGGGUAGCCGGCCUGAGAGGGUGGACGGUCACACUGGGACUGAGACACGGCCCAGACUCCUACGGGAGGCAGCAGUGGGGAAUAUUGCACAAUGGGCGCAAGCCUGAUGCAGCGACGCCGCGUGAGGGAUGGAGGCCUUCGGGUUGUAAACCUCUUUCGCCAGUGAAGCAGGCCUGCUCCUUGUGGGUGGGUUGACGGUAGCUGGAUAAGAAGCGCCGGCUAACUACGUG